rnacentral:rRNA from 1 species
GACGAACCGAGCGACCGUUGUUCGGAAUCACUGGGCUUAAAGGGCGCGUAGGCGGGUGCUCAAGUCCGUGGUGAAAUCCUCCGGCUCAACCGGAGAACUGCCUCGGAUACUGGGCGUCUCGAGUGUGGUAGGGGUAUGCGGAACUAUCGGUGGAGCGGUGAAAUGCGUUGAUAUCGAUAGGAACUCCGGUGGCGAAGGCGGCAUACUGGACCACUACUGACGCUGAUGCGCGAAAGCCAGGGGAGCAAACGGG